GAUAGUGAACCAGUACCGUGAGGGAAAGGCGAAAAGAACCCCGGCGAGGGGAGUGAAAAAGAACCUGAAACCGUGUACGUACAAGCAGUGGGAGCACGCUUAGGCGUGUGACUGCGUACCUUUUGUAUAAUGGGUCAGCGACUUAUAUUCUGUAGCAAGGUUAACCGAAUAGGGGAGCCGAAGGGAAACCGAGUCUUAACUGGGCGUUAAGUUGCAGGGUAUAGACCCGAAACCCGGUGAUCUAGCCAUGGGCAGGUUGAAGGUUGGGUAACACUAACUGGAGGACCGAACCGACUAAUGUUGAAAAAUUAGCGGAUGACUUGUGGCUGGGGGUGAAAGGCCAAUCAAACCGGGAGAUAGCUGGUUCUCCCCGAAAGCUAUUUAGGUAGCGCCUCGUGAAUUCAUCUCCGGGGGUAGAGCACUGUUUCGGCAAGGGGGUCAUCCCGACUUACCAACCCGAUGCAAACUGCGAAUACCGGAGAAUGUUAUCACGGGAGACACACGGCGGGUGCUAACGUCCGUCGUGAAGAGGGAAACAACCCAGACCGCCAGCUAAGGUCCCAAAGUCAUGGUUAAGUGGGAAACGAUGUGGGAAGGCCCAGACAGCCAGGAUGUUGGCUUAGAAGCAGCCAUCAUUUAAAGAAAGCGUAAUAGCUCACUGGUCGAGUCGGCCUGCGCGGAAGACGUAACGGGGCUAAACCAUGCACCGAAGCUGCGGCAGCGACGCUGAUGCGUUGUUGGGUAGGGGAGCGUUCUGUAAGCCUGUGAAGGUGUGCUGUGAGG
rnacentral:rRNA from 1 species